CGGCGGAUGGGUGAGUAACACGUGGGUAACCUACCUAUAAGACUGGGAUAACUUCGGGAAACCGGAGCUAAUACCGGAUAAUAUAUUGAACCGCAUGGUUCAAUAGUGAAAGACGGUUUUGCUGUCACUUAUAGAUGGAUCCGCGCCGCAUUAGCUAGUUGGUAAGGUAACGGCUUACCAAGGCAACGAUGCGUAGCCGACCUGAGAGGGUAAUCGGCCACAUUGGGACUGAGACACGGCCCAG
rnacentral:rRNA from 1 species